UGCAUUUCAAAUAGAAACAUAUGAUCCUGAUCCUGUUCCUGACCCACUGACAUACAUGAUUACUGGGCCUAAAGCAAGCUACUUUAAUUGCAACGCAAACACAGGAAACGUAACCAUCCGGACCCCCUUGGAGAGAGAUGAUGAUGACAAGGGUGUAUUCACCAUCGAAGUUGUGGUUUCUGACGCUGAUUAUACAGUUUCCAAAAACAUUCAGAUCAUCAUAAUAGAUGCAAAUGAUAACCGACCCAUAUUUGAA